rnacentral:rRNA from 1 species
GACGAACGCUGGCGGCGUGCUUAACACAUGCAAGUCGAACGGAAAGGCCCUGCUUUUGUGGGGUGCUCGAGUGGCGAACGGGUGAGUAACACGUGAGUAACCUGCCCUUGACUUUGGGAUAACUUCAGGAAACUGGGGCUAAUACCGGAUAGGAGCUCCUGCUGCAUGGUGGGGGUUGGAAAGUUUCGGCGGUUGUGGAUGGACUCGCGGCUUAUCAGCUUGUUGGUGGGGUAGUGGCUUACCAAGGCUUUGACGGGUAGCCGGCCUGAGAGGGUGACCGGCCACAUUGGGACUGAGAUACGGCCCAGACUCCUACGGGAGGCAGCAGUGGGGAAUAUUGCACAAUGGGCGGAAGCCUGAUGCAGCAACGCCGCGUGCGGGAUGACGGCCUUCGGGUUGUAAACCGCUUUCGCCUGUGACGAAGCGUGAGUGACGGUAAUGGGUAAAGAAGCACCGGCUAACUACGUGCCAGCAGCCGCGGUGAUACGUAGGGUGCGAGCGUUGUCCGGAUUUAUUGGGCGUAAAGGGCUCGUAGGUGGUUGAUCGCGUCGGAAGUGUAAUCUUGGGGCUUAACCCCUGAGCGUGCUUUCGAUACGGGUUGACUUGAGGGAAGGUAGGGGGAGAAUGGAAUUCCUGGUGGGGCGGUGGAAUGCGCAGAUAUCAGGAGGAACACCAGUGGCGAAGGCGGUUCUCUGGGCCUUUCCUGACGCUGAGGAGCGAAAGCGUGGGGAGCGAACAGGCUUAGAUACCCUGGUAGUCCACGCUGUAAACGGUGGGUACUAGGUGUGGGGUCCAUUCCACGGGUUCCGUGCCGUAGCUAAUGCUUUAAGUACCCCGCCUGGGGAGUACGGCCGCAAGGCUAAAACUCAAAGGAAUUGACGGGGCCCCGCACAAGCGGCGGAGCAUGCGGAUUAAUUCGAUGCAACGCGUAGAACCUUACCUGGGUUUGACAUGGAUCGGGAGUGCUCAGAGAUGGGUGUGCCUCUUUUGGGGUCGGUUCACAGGUGGUGCAUGGCUGUCGUCAGCUCGUGUCGUGAGAUGUUGGGUUAAGUCCCGCAACGAGCGCAACCCUUGUUCACUGUUGCCAGCACGUUAUGGUGGGGACUCAGUGGAGACCGCCGGGGUCAACUCGGAGGAAGGUGGGGAUGACGUCAAGUCAUCAUGCCCCUUAUGUCCAGGGCUUCACGCAUGCUACAAUGGCUGGUACAGAGAGUGGCGAGCCUGUGAGGGUGAGCGAAUCUCGGAAAGCCGGUCUCAGUUCGGAUUGGGGUCUGCAACUCGACCUCAUGAAGUCGGAGUCGCUAGUAAUCGCAGAUCAGCAACGCUGCGGUGAAUACGUUCCCGGG